CGUAGUGAACCUGCGGAAGGAUCAUUGUCGAAACCUGCCUAGCAGAACGACCCGAGAACUAGUUUCAAAGCGGGGGAUGAGGGGUCUUGCGGCUCCUUGUCCCUUUAUCUCGGGGGGGUUGCAUUGCGUUCGCGCAAUCGACCCUUCCGUGCGUACAAACGAACACCGGCGCGAAUUGCGCCAAGGAACCUGAAUGAGAGAGCGCGUCCCCGUUGCMCCGGAAACGGUGCGCGCGGGCGGCGUCGUCAUCUUCAAAUAUGUCAAAACGACUCUCGGCAACGGAUAUCUCGSUCUCGCAUCGAUGAAGAACGUAGCGAAAUGCGAUACUUGGUGUGAAUUGCAGAAUCCCGUGAACC
rnacentral:misc_RNA from 1 species